rnacentral:misc_RNA from 1 species
GUGAAAAUGUAAAGAUGAUUAGAAAAAAAUAGUUUAUAUUUAGAAAAUCUAGUUUUUGAUAAGAACCGCUGAUGGAACUUAAUUCUUUGUUGGACCCUGAGAGUUAGAACGGGAGAAGGGAGGAAUCUCUACCUGGGUAGAAGGACUGGAAGAGUGGAGAAGAGGAGGGAGGAAGAAAAACCUCCCUCUACGGAUAUGACAUGAAUCCUGGAAAGAGGUAUGACCCUGAGUUCCCGUAUGAUGAGUAUGGACGUGAAGGAAGCCAAGGCUCCGGGUAUUCUCCACACCAGGAUGCAGGAUAUUCUCGCCAGGACUCAGGAUACUCCCAUCAUGAUGUAGGAUAUCCAUCAGAUGGAUUUGAUCCCGGAUAUUCAACUGAUCAUGGAUAUGUUAGCGAUCCCCUCCCGUAUGGGGAAGGUGGUAGGCGGGCUGGACACAUGUUUCCUCCGCAUGGAGGAGAAAUUGGUCGAGUAGGACGAGGAGGAGGAAACGAGGCACAAGCUUUGGUUGCUCUUGAUAAAGCAAACAACAAGCCGGUUGCCUUCAGUGUGCGGACUAACGUUAUGUACGACGGAUCGUUAGAUGAUGAUUCUCCGGUACAUGGGAGUGCAGUAAGUUUCAAAAUUGGAGAUUUUCUUCACAUAUUUGAGAAGUAUGAUAGUAACUGGUGGAUUGGACGGAAGGUUCGAGAAAGUUGUGAUAUUGGUUUCAUCCCCUCACCAGCUAAGCUAGAGCAGCUUAUCCUACAGCAGGCUCCAGCGGGAAAGGGAUCAAAAGUUAAAUCUCUCAGUGCUGGGAAUUUACAGAACCUGAAUACAAGGAUUGGAGGAGGAACACCUCCAUUAACAGGGUUGGAACCGGAGCAGAACGGGACCGAAGGGGGCGGAGUUAAAGUGACGGCACCCCCAGUGAUUGAAAAAAAGAAAGGACUACUCGGUAAAAAGCAAGAGACCUUGUCACCUUAUGAUGUAGUGCCUAGCAUAAGACCGUUGGUCUUGGUAGGACCGUCCCUCAAGGGAUACGAGGUUACUGAUAUGAUGCAAAAAGCUGUGUUCGAAUUCUUAAAAAAUAAGUUUGAAGGACGAAUUAUCAUAACUCGAGUGUCUGCGGAUAUUUCUUUAGGAAAGAAAUCUGUCUUGAAUAAUCCUUCCAAGCGGGCGAUCCUGGAGAAAUCCAGCUCUAGGUCUAACAAUCUUGCCGAGGUUCAGGCAGAGAUUGAACGGAUCUUUGAGCUUAGUAGAUCCAUGCAGUUGAUAGUACUAGACUGUGACACGGUGAACCAUCCCUCACAACUUGCAAAAACCUCCUUGGCUCCGAUUAUUGUGUACCUAAAGAUUUCCAGUCCUAAGGUUUUACAGAGAUUAAUAAAAUCCCGUGGAAAGGCUCAAUCCCGUAAUAUCAACGUCCAGCUGGUGGCCGCCGAAAAGUUGGCCCAAUGUCCUCCUGAGAUGUUUGAUGUUAUCCUAGAUGAAAAUCAACUUGAUGAAGCAUGUCUCCAUAUAGCAGAGUACCUAGAGGCAUAUUGGCGGGCUGCAGUUCCUCCGAAGAAAGGACCAAUUCAAAAUCAUCAAUCACAACUCCCAGAUCCAAACACUUCUCCGAGCUUAGGACGCAGAGAUCCUGCUCCAAUCCUUCAAAACCAUAGCAAGCAAGGUUCUGCUCAUGGUAGUGUUGGUUCAAACCAUGCUCCAGUUCCUGUUCCGGGAUCCCAUCAUGGAUCAGUUCCUGCUCCAGGAUCCCAUCACGGAUCAGCUCCAGUUCCGGGAUCCCAUCACGGAUCCCAUCAUGGAUCAGGACUAGGGAUUCCAUCCCAACACGAAUCCAAUCAUGGAGGUCUCACUCCUCAGGGUAGUUUUCAUCACACGGAGGAGUUUCCUCCAGAACCAAAUCACGCGCUGCCCCCUCCUCCUCGAAGAGGUCAGCCUCACCUAGAUGAAUACGGACCUCGGAGACCGCGAGGAGAUCCUUAUGUUGAACGAGGGCGGUCUAUUGAUGAUAGAGAUUACAGAUUCAAUGAAUCUGAGGGAUGGGAUGAACGGAGAAGGGAUGAACCGCUCCGACAACCUGCUCACGUACCUCUUCCUUCCCUCCAGGAUUAUCCGGACAGAUUUGAAAGAUAUGACGGAGAUCAGUUCCAACAAAGAGACUUCUUUGCCGAACCUCGGCCGAGAAAUUUCCAGGGAAAAGACGAUUUUCAAACACUUCGACAACGUUAUGAUGAAGACUAUUGAAAAUAUAACAUUGUACAGCAAGACACAGCUUUCCACUCUACAAUCUACAUUUUUACUUCAGUGCUGUGCACUUCUUAGCAUCAACUCUUUGUAUGAUUUAUCCUCAUCCUUAACUUUAGUUUUGUAUAAUAUCCUAUAAAUGACUCUUGGUUCUCCUGGUUUUCUUAGACAUAUCUACCCUACAUUCAUUUCCAUAUCUUGUUCUUGAUAGUUCAUGUACCCCUAGUACCAUCCAACACCAAUCUUCAGGCGACCUAGCCAAGCCCACCAUUCGUACUGUUUUCAUGUACUGCACUACUCCCUUACAAAUUCUAAUGAGCUAUGUUUUUAAUGCCUAGCUCCCCUUAAGAAUCAAUCUGUUUUAUUUCUCAAAAUUUUUUCUCCCAUAAAGCCUGUGAUAUCUUGUUUUGUAUCUAUAUUGUUGGAACACCCUGGGUCGCCAUUUUUCAAAGUAACGAAAUAGAAAAUGGCUACAUGCAAGAAGGGAAAAUUUGGUUUGGUAAAUAUGACGAAGACGACUUGCUAUGACUUUUGUUUAGAUUAUAGCUAUACAAGUACACGAAAAAAUCAAUCUCAUUUGGCAAGACUUCUAAUCUUUACCAAACCUCCCCCACACAAAAAAUACUGCAACAAUUUUAGAUGAUAUCAAGUAAAUAUUUCUCUUUUAGAAUAUCAACCUUUUCCAUCUCUGAGGGAUGAAUGCUAGUUUAUCUUUCAUUAAUAAUUUAGUAAAUGAAGACACUUGGCGUGACAAGCAAACCGCCAAAUAUAUUUCGAUCUUUAUCAAAAUAUGGUUUCAAAGAAAUAUUUCUCUUUCCAGAACUUUUUUUUUAUUUUAAGUUAGGAGUUUAAUCACAAAUUUGUUCUUAGUGAAGUAUAUGCACAAAAAAAUCUUAUUGUCUUUACACAUGAUUAAACACGUGGUUGUAAAUUUUAUAAAAUAUUUGUUUAUGAAUUUUAAUCUAGCAUUUCUGCCCUAGCACUGGACAGUUUUAUUUUAACUCCUUCCAUCCUGUAAAUUAUUGUUCCCACCUUCACCAUCUUAACCCUAUAAACUUGUGCAAGGUGGCUCCAUAAUAAAACAGUUUCUUUGCCCACCUUGUGCUACGACCCAUGUAGUUUCUACCCCCCCCCCCCCCAUCUACCCAUUGCUAGACAAUAUAUCAAGAAAUAUUUUCAAUUGAUAAUUUAAUUUGAAAGUUUAGCAAGAAAUUAAGAUACUUCUUUUAUAAACUUGUUUAAACUAUAUUAAAUCAAUGUUGCCAAUGCGGAUAUUUCCUUGUAAGAACAUCUCCUCUCUCUACAGUUUUAUAUUAACACAUAUAUUUUAUAUUCUCUUCUCCCACCAGAACUUAUCAUAAUAAUACAAGGUUUCACGUUCUCUAGGUAAUUCAAUACAAGCCCCCACGACAAUAUUUUAAUUCAAGUUUUCAUAUUCUAGAUAAUCGUUUUUUUAUUUCCUUGUUCUAAGGAAACACAAGAAAGUCAAAAUAAACCUCUGUGAUUCUCUUCU